UAUCGCUUUAAUUUUUCAUUCAUUUCAGCGUUAAAAACAACGCAAACGUUAGCGAUAUAUCUGCAUACAUUGUAUUAUUCCUGUCGACGGGAAAAACUAUAUUUUUAAGUGAUAUAAUGCUGUUAAAUGUAGGUCUAUUAGGCUUCUCAGUGUGGCGUGCGGGACUCCACCAUUGGCUCCGAGGAUGAUUGGAAUUAUGAAUACGCCGUUUUGAUCCCAAGAAAUGUUUGUUUGUCUACGAAUACUAUAUCGGGUCUAUUGUUUUGUAUGUGCACAAUAGUGAUGAUUUCUCUGUUCCAGUACAGUUUGUAUUGAUCGUUAUCUACAACCGACUCAGGUUUG